UACAGCCACAUCACGUUGAAACACCGGUUACCAUACAGUCACUGAAGUUAAGCACCAUCAAGCCUGGUCAGUAUCUAGAUGGGUGACCACUUGGAAAUAGCAGGUGCUGCAAG